ACGGCGGAUCCGAAAAGCCGAAAACAGAGUAGGGA
rfam:Bacteroidales bacterium Barb4 Barb4_contig_143, whole genome shotgun sequence.